UACGAAGGGGGCUAGCGUUGCUCGGAAUCACUGGGCGUAAAGGGUGCGUAGGCGGGUCUUUAAGUUAGGGGUGAAAUCCUGGAGCUCAACUCCAGAACUGCCUUUGAUACUGAAGAUCUUGAGUUCGGGAGAGGUGAGUGGAACUGCGAGUGUAGAGGUGAAAUUCGUAGAUAUUCGCAAGAACGCCAGUGGCGAAGGCGGCUCACUGGCCCGAUACUGACGCUGAGGCACGAAAGCGUGGGGAGCAAACAGG
rnacentral:rRNA from 1 species